GCAGUCGUGGCCUAGGGGUUGGGGCUUUAGGCUGGGAACCGAAGAGUUGCCGGUCCGAUCCCCGACCAGUGGG
rnacentral:tRNA from 1 species